GCCGCGGUGGCGGAAUUGGCAGACGCACGGCGUUCAGGUCGCCGCGAUCGCAAGAUCAUGAGAGUUCAAAUCUCUCCCGCGGCACAA
rnacentral:tRNA from 1 species